rnacentral:misc_RNA from 1 species
UUGAAGUUGGAUGCGAUUGAA